CACCGCGGUUACACGGGGGGCCCAAGCCGACAGACAUCGGCGUAAAGCGUGGUUAGGAACCCUAAUCGAAAUUAGAGCCGAAUGCUUUCAAAGCUGUUAUACGCACCCGAAAGCUAGAAGCACAACUACGAAGGUGGCUUUAUAUCUUCUGAAUCCACGAAAGCUAGGGCA
rnacentral:rRNA from 1 species